ensembl:lncRNA
CUGCCCCAAGAACAGAGGCAGUGCAUCGUCUUGGAUUUCCUCCACGGCGUCUGUCAGGAGCAGCUUGUUCUUCCUUCUGAAGAACCCACCUCCAACAGAGAACAGUUGGAGAUCCAGCUCGCCAAGGUGGUUCUGCUGCUCUGCUUCAUCGGUCUGAUUAACAAUGAGCUGGUGCCUAAACUGGAGUUCGAGACAGAGGUAAGUUUAUAUGCAGAAUAUUUCAGAUUCUUUGUUCACGCUGCAGAUUGAU